AGAAGGCCUUAUGCGGUGUAAACUGCUUUUAUACAGGAAGAAACGACUCUUGCGAGAGGCAUUGACAGUACUGUAUGAAUAAGCACCGGCUAACUCCGUGCCAACAGCCGCGGUAAUACCGAGGGUGCAAGCGUUGUCCGGAUUUAUUGGGUUUAAAGGGUGCGCAUGUGGUUUAUUAAAUCAGUGGUGAAAGACGGUCGCUCAACCAUUGCAGUGCCAUUGAAACUGGUAGACUUGAAUAAAAUAUAGGUGGGCGGAAUUGAUAUUGUAACGGUGAAAUGCAUAGAUAUUAUCAAGAACUCCAAUUGCGAAGGCAGCUCACUUGGCUUUUACUGACACUCAUGCACGAAAGUGUGGGUAUCAAACAGGAUUAGAUACCCUGGUAGUCCACACUGUAAACGAUGAUAACUACGUGUCGGCCGAAUCUGGUCGGUGCCACAGCGAAAGCGUUAAGUUAUCCACCUGGGGAGUACGCCGGCAACGGUGAAACUCAAAGGAAUUGACGGG
rnacentral:rRNA from 1 species